GACGACGGCUGGCGGGCGUGCUUAAAACAUGCAAGUCGAACGGACUUCUCAUGAAGCUUGCGAUUGAGAAGUUAGUGGCGGACGGGUGAGUAACGCGUGGGCAACCUGCCCCUGAGCCCGGGAUAACAGUUCGAAAGGACUGCUAAGACCGGAUAUACUUGCGGGGAAGCAUUUCACUGCAAGGAAAGGGAACGCUCAGGGGAUGGGGCCCGCGUCCCAUUAGCUAGUUGGUGAGGUAACGGGCCCACCAAGGCGACGAUGGGUAGCCGGCCUGAGAGGGUGAACGGCCACACUGGGACUGAGACACGGCCCAGACUCCUACGGGAGGCAGCAGUUGGGAAUCUUCGGCAAUGGGCGCAAGCCUGACCGAGCAACGCCGCGUGAGUGAUGAAGGUUUUCGGAUUGUAAAGCUCUGUCUUCCGGGACGAUAAUGACGGUACCGGAGGAGGAAGCCACGGCUAACUACGUG
rnacentral:rRNA from 1 species